AUAUAUAUAUAUAUAUAUAAGGAGAAAGUUCGGCUGUGGUACUUUUAAAAGUAUUAAGUAUUUGAUAUUUGUAAAUUUUUCAUUAUUAGAUCUAUUCGUCUGACCAUUUUCAUUCCUUAAAUUAUUCUAUUCCACUCACUCGAUUCUUGGAUACCACUAUCAUCGUAAUUUUACAAAUCUUUAUCUAAAAGUCGAAUGCCUACAAACACUAAUUACUUCGUAUUUUUAAAAGUAUAGAAGUUCAAUAAGAGCGAGAAAGAAAUUAAGAACAUGCUAUUUUUCUCCUUCUUUGAUUUUUUCUUUUAAAAACUUAACUAA
rnacentral:lncRNA from 1 species